rnacentral:rRNA from 1 species
UACGUAGGGUGCAAGCGUUAAUCGGAAUUACUGGGCGUAAAGCGUGCGCAGGCGGUUGUGCAAGACCGAUGUGAAAUCCCCGGGCUUAACCUGGGAAUGGCAUUGGUGACUGCACGGCUAGAGUGUGUCAGAGGGGGGUAGAAUUCCACGUGUAGCAGUGAAAUGCGUAGAGAUGUGGAGGAACACCGAUGGCGAAGGCAGCCUCCUGGGCCAACACUGACGCUCAUGCACGAAAGCGUGGGGAGCAAACAGG